rnacentral:lncRNA from 1 species
AACAUGCAAGAAAAGUCUCCAUCAGAGUUGAUCCCGAUGAAAAUCCUCUGAUGCUCAAGUUAGAUUUGUCGCAGCAAGUGAAAAAAAAUAAGAGUUAUGGAAGAGAUGGAAGGCGUAUCUGAAGGGUCCCGUUUAUCUCUUUAUAUAUAUAUGAGAUGGGAACUAUAGAGAGAGAGAGAGAUAAAAUCGUAAAAGAUCUUUUUACCCCUCA